AGCCUCUCUCUCCUCUCUCAUUCUCUUCUGGGACAGCUGCUCCGCAUCAUGCUGACCAUUUUGCUUGCUCUUCUACAUGGCUCUGAAUUGGGAUGCUCCAUCACACAGUGGCCAGAAUAUGCUCUCAAGAGAGCCGGGGAGAGUGUGGACCUCACCUGUUAUGCCACGCUUGCCUAUAUGUUCUGGUACCAACCAGCAGCCUUCAAGAAGUAGUCUGAAGUUAAUAGUUAGCACUUCCAAGUGGCAUCAGAAUUACUAUGAGGAAGGUUACAGUGAAGCCAAGUUUGAGCUAAGCAGAGACAAGAACAAUCUCUCCAUUAUGACUAUCAAGAAUGUGACAUUCAAGGAUGCUGCCACUUACUUCUGUGCUGCGAAUGAUCACACGAUGCAGCAAGAGCACUAAGCACUUACACAAAUUCCUCACCCUGCCUGAAGGAGAGACAAAGUCUCUGUAAAAUGUGAGACUGAUUGGAGAGGGUACUGGUGGCUAGCAAAAGGCACUAGACACUUCUCAGAAUUAGUGCUACAGAAGCACAGCCAGGUUCUUGGUCACUAGUUCCCUGCAGACCCAAAGAUGGCACUAAGGAGAGUGUGUGGUCAAGUACAAAGCAGAAGGUGAAUUCAAGGCUCUUUCGCAU